rnacentral:tRNA from 1 species
GGAGAGGUGCCAGAGUGGUUGAAUGGGGCGGUCUCGAAAAUCGCUGUGGGGUUUUGCUCCACCGAGGGUUCGAAUCCCUCCCUCUCCGCCA